rnacentral:RNase_P_RNA from 2 species
UGGGAAGAGGGCGCAGCCGCUGGUGGCAACACCAGAGGAAAGUCCGGGCAGCACAGGGCAGGAUGCCAGCUAACGGCUGGGCGGGGUAACCCGACGGAAUAGUGCAACAGAAAGCAGACGGCCGGGUCAACCCGGUCAAGGUGAAACGGUGCGGUAAGAGCGCACCAGUGCCCCUGGCAACAGGGGCAGCUAGGCAAACCCCAUCUGCUGCAAGUCCCACGUCCCGCUCAGGCGGGGCGACACGCCAGGGAGAACUGGCCCGGUUCGCUACAACCUGCGGUAGGGACGCUUGAGGUGAGCGGCGACGCUCAUCCCAGAGAGAUGGCUGCGGAAACAGAACCCGGCUUACGCCUCUUCCCAACCU